GGCCUGGUGGUCUAGUAGUAUGAUUCCUUCUUAGGGUAUCGUCGUGCACGAUGGAUUUGGAGGAGGUCCCGGGUUCAAUUCCCGGCCAGGCCC